rnacentral:rRNA from 1 species
GACGAACCGUGCGAACGUUGUUCGGAAUCACUGGGCUUAAAGGGCGCGUAGGCGGCCCGCCGCGUCCGGGGUGAAAUCCUCCCGCUCAACGGGAGAACGGCCUCGGAUACGGGCGGGCUGGAGGCGGGUAGGGGCAGGCGGAACCGUGGGUGGAGCGGUGAAAUGCGUUGAGAUCCACAGGAACUCCGGUGGCGAAGGCGGCCUGCUGGACCCGAUCUGACGCUGAGGCGCGAAAGCCAGGGGAGCGAACGGG